GACGAACGCUGGCGGCGUGCUUAACACAUGCAAGUCGAACGAUGAAGAAGAGCUUGCUCUUCGGAUUAGUGGCGAACGGGUGAGUAACACGUGACUAACCUGCCCCUUUCUCUGGGAUAACGCUCCGAAAGGAGUGCUAAUACCGGAUACUCACAUCGAGGCACAUGCCUUGAUGUGGAAAGUUUUUCGGAAAGGGAUGGAGUCGCGGCCUAUCAGCUUGUUGGUGAGGUAACGGCUCACCAAGGCGACGACGGGUAGCCGGCCUGAGAGGGCGACCGGCCACACUGGGACUGAGACACGGCCCAGACUCCUACGGGAGGCAGCAGUGGGGAAUAUUGCACAAUGGGCGAAAGCCUGAUGCAGCGACGCCGCGUGAGGGAUGAAGGUCUUCGUAUUGUAAACCUCUUUCAGUAGGGACGAAGCGAAAGUGACGGUACCUAAAGAAGAAGCACCGGCUAACUACGUGCCAGCCGCCGCCGUGA
rnacentral:rRNA from 1 species